AAUCCUUCUAUGAAGAACCUAAUGCCAGGCUUGUGGUACUCAGCGCCCUGCGGUGACUCCCGGGCUAGCUUGCUUGAAGCCUGUGAAGGACUCUCACCGGUUCUUCAUCCCCCUCCUGAGCAGAGUAGCCCAGCGAGACAAAGGGAUGUCUCCCCUGCGAGGGUCCAGGCUCCCGAGACGGAAGGGUCUUUUACGGAUCAUCUCUGAAGAAAUGGAAGCUCCAGAAAGAUAAAUACCUUCUCCCAAGUCACGCCGCCUGUAAAUGGCUGAGUCGGGACGAGGAGGAAGGGAACCAACAUGGAUACGGCACUUACUCCGCGUCCAAGAGCCUCACAGAAGUCGUCUUCGCUCCAUCUGCAGAGGAGAUUCAGGGAGGUUUAGGCACCACGCCGACAUCACGCAGCGGUGAAGGGGCAGGGCUGGCAGUUGAAUGUAGGUCUAGCUGAUUCUUAUAAUAUGUAAUUCUUUUCUUUUAAAAAUAUUUACUUAUUAGGCUGCAAAGGGUCUUAGUUGUGGUCCACCGAAUCAGUGGGGGCAUGUGAAUUUUUUUUUUUUUUUCUGGUUGCGGCAUGUGAGAACUAGUUCCUUGACCAGGGAUUGAAGUCGGCCCCCCUGCACUGGGAGUGCCCACUCUUAGCCACUGGACCACCAGGGAAUUCCCAUAAUCUGUAAUUCUUGCUAGACCUUUAUCUGUCUGGUUCACACGUGUCUCCCCAACAUCGAGGGAAUGAAUGAAGGAAUCAAGCUCUUUCCAGUCUCCCACACCUCCAUCCAGAUUCACCCUGAUCAAAGUUAACAGACCCUAGGGGCGAUUACACGGUUGCCAUGGUAACCGAACUUUAGAAGUAAGUGCUUCAGGCAACCCAGGACAAAACCAGUGAACCCUUCUCUCUCUGGAAUAAUUACAGCUUUUCUGUCCAAGCCGACAAAGGUUAACACAAAGCAGCAAAGAGGAGAGAGUCCCUGAUGACAAUAAAGUCAUACUUUAUUGCUCUUGACCA
rnacentral:lncRNA from 1 species